rnacentral:rRNA from 1 species
GAUGAACGCUGGCGGCGUGCCUAAUACAUGCAAGUCGAGCGAACGGACGAGAAGCUUGCUUCUCUGAUGUUAGCGGCGGACGGGUGAGUAACACGUGGAUAACCUACCUAUAAGACUGGGAUAACUUCGGGAAACCGUAGCUAAUACCGGAUAAUAUUUUGAACAGCAUGGUUCAAACGUGAAAGACGGUCUUGCUGUCACUUAUAGAUGGAUCCGCGCUGCAUUAGCUAGUUGGUAAGGUAACGGCUUACCAAGGCAACGAUGCAUAGCCGACCUGAACGGGUGAUCGGCCACACGGGAACUGAGACACGGUCCAGACUCCUACGGGAGGCAGCAGUAGGGAAUCUUCCGCAAAGGGCGAAAGCCUGACGGAGCAACGCCGCGGGAGUGAUGAUGGUCUUCGGAUCGUAAAACUCUGUUAUUAGGGAAGAACAUAUGUGUAAGUAACUGUGCACAUCUUGACGGUACCUGAUCAGAAAGCCACGGCUAACUACGUG